rnacentral:rRNA from 1 species
GAUGAACGCUGGCGGCGUGCCUAAUACAUGCAAGUCGAGCGAACGGACGAGAAUCUUGCUGCUCUGAUGUUAGCGGCGGACGGGUGAGUAACACGUGUAUAACCUACCUAUAAUACUGGGAUAACUUCGGGAAACCGGAUCUAAUACCGGAGAAUAUUUUGAACCGCAUGGUUGAAUAGUGAAAGACGGUCGUGCUGGCACUUAUAGAGGGAUCCGCGCUGCAUUAGCUAGUUGGUAAGGUAACGGCUUACCAAGGCAACGAUGCAUAGCCGACGUGAGAGGGUGAUAGGCCACACGGGAAGUGAGACACGGUCAAGACUCCUACGGGAGGCAGCAGAAGGGAAUCUUACGCAAUGGGCGAAAGCAUGACGGAGCAACGCCGCGUGAGUGAUGAAGGUCUUCGGAUCGUAAAACUCUGUUAUUAGGGAAGAACAUAUGUGUAAGUAAAUGUGCCCAUCUUGACGGUACCUAGUCAGAAAGCAACGGCUAACUACGUG